AUAUCUGCGAGGAUGGGGACAGUAGCCCGUCCCUCCGAUGCCAAGAGAGCCGCCGUAUGGUGCAAGGCGGACACGGAGGACAGCGGCGAAGAUCACCCCGGAGCAUCCGGCUGAACCGGCAGUAAGCCCGGACGGCAGAGGGCCGUUAUCUUCCCUUCCCCCCCACGGCUCGUGGGGCAGAGCGGCCGCACCCGGUGCGGCAACAAGAGUGGUACCGCAGAGGUUUCUUAGUGGCCUUUGUCUCUUAC
rnacentral:ncRNA from 1 species